GAUGAACGCUGGCGGCGUGCCUGAUACAUGCAAGUCGAGCGAAUGGAUUAAGAGCUUGCUCUUAUGAAGUUAGCGGCGGACGGGUGAGUAACACGUGGGUAACCUGCCCAUAAGACUGGGAUAACUCCGGGAAACCGGGGCUAAUACCGGAUAACAUUUUGAACCGCAUGGUUCGAAAUUGAAAGGCGGCUUCGGCUGUCACUUAUGGAUGGACCCGGUUCGCAUUAGCUAGUUGGUGAGGUAACGGCUCACCAAGGCAACGAUGCGUAGCCGACCUGAGAGGGUGAUCGGCCACACUGGGACUGAGACACGGCCCAGACUCCUACGGGAGGCAGCAGUAGGGAAUCUUCCGCAAUGGACGAAAGUCUGACGGAGCAACGCCGCGUGAGUGAUGAAGGCUUUCGGGUCGUAAAACUCUGUUGUUAGGGAAGAACAAGUGCUAGUUGAAUAAGCUGGCACCUUGACGGUACCUAACCAGAAAGCCACGGCUAACUACGUGCCAGCCGCCGCAGUAA
rnacentral:rRNA from 1 species